rnacentral:rRNA from 1 species
GAUGAACGCUGGCGGCGUGCCUAAUACAUGCAAGUCGAGCGAACAGACGAGGAGCUUGCUCCUCUGACGUUAGCGGCGGACGGGUGAGUAACACGUGGAUAACCUACCUAUAAGACUGGGAUAACUUCGGGAAACCGGAGCUAAUACCGGAUAAUAUAUUGAACCGCAUGGUUCAAUAGUGAAAGACGGUUUUGCUGUCACUUAUAGAUGGAUCCGCGCCGCAUUAGCUAGUUGGUAAGGUAACGGCUUACCAAGGCAACGAUGCGUAGCCGACCUGAGAGGGUGAUCGGCCACACUGGGACUGAGAGACGGUCCAGACUCCUACGGGAGGCAGCAGUAGGGAAUCUUCCGCAAUGGGCGAAAGCCUGACGGAGCAAAGCCGCGUGAGUGAUGAAGGUCUUCGGAUCGUAAAACUCUGUUAUUAGGGAAGAACAAAUGUGUAAGUAACUAUGCACGUCUUGACGGUACCUAAUCAGAAAGCCACGGCUAACUACGUG